rnacentral:rRNA from 1 species
CACGUAGUUAGCCGGUGCUUCUUAUACAGGUACCGUCACAAAAAGCUUCGUCCCUGUCGAAAGGAGUUUACAACCCGAAGGCCGUCAUCCCCCACGCGGCGUCGCUGCAUCAGGCUUCCGCCCAUUGUGCAAUAUUCCCCACUGCCGCCUCCCGUAGGAGUCUGGGCCGUAUCUCAGUCCCAAUGUGGCCGUACACCCUCUCAGGCCGGCUACCCGUCGACGCCUUGGUAGGCCAUUACCCCACCAACAAGCUGAUAGGCCGCGAGCUCAUCUUGCACCGAAAAAACUUUCCAACCACCACACUAAAGGCAGUUCAUAUCCGGUAUUAGACCCAGUUUCCCAAGCUUAUCCCAGAGUGCAAGGCAGAUCACCCACGUGUUACUCACCCGUUCGCCACUCGAGUACCCCUUGCAAGCAAGAGGCCUUUCCGUUCGACUUGCAUGUGUUAAGCACGCCGCCAGCGUUCGUCCUGAGCCAGGAUCAAACUCU